rnacentral:rRNA from 1 species
AUUGAACGCUGGCGGCAUGCCUUACACAUGCAAGUCGAACGGUAACGCGGGGCAACCUGGCGACGAGUGGCGAACGGGUGAGUAAUGCAUCGGAACGUGCCCAGUAGUGGGGGAUAGCUCGGCGAAAGCCGGAUUAAUACCGCAUACGACCUACGGGUGAAAGCGGGGGACCGUAAGGCCUCGCGCUGUUGGAGCGGCCGAUGUCAGAUUAGGUUGUUGGUGAGGUAAAGGCUCACCAAGCCGACGAUCUGUAGCUGGUCUGAGAGGACGACCAGCCACACUGGGACUGAGACACGGCCCAGACUCCUACGGGAGGCAGCAGUGGGGAGUUUUGGACAAUGGGGGCAACCCUGAUCCAGCCAUGCCGCGUGCGGGAAGAAGGCCUUCGGGUUGUAAACCGCUUUUGUCAGGGAAGAAAAGCUUCGGGCUAAUACCCCGAGGUAAUGACGGUACCUGAAGAAUAAGCACCGGCUAACUACGUGCCAGCCGCCGCAGUAA